UACGUAGGGGGCAAGCGUUGUCCGGAAUCAUUGGGCGUAAAGAGCGUGUAGGCGGCUCGUUAAGUCUGCUGUGAAAGUCCAGGGCUCAACCCUGGAAGGCCGGUGGAAACUGUCGGGCUAGAGUCCGGAAGAGGCGAGUGGAAUUCCCGGUGUAGCGGUGAAAUGCGCAGAUAUCAGGAGGAACACCUAUUGCGAAGGCAGCUCGCUGGGACGUAACUGACGCUGAGACGCGAAAGCGUGGGGAGCAAACAGG
rnacentral:rRNA from 1 species